rnacentral:rRNA from 1 species
UACGUAGGGGGCAAGCGUUGUUCGGAUUUACUGGGCGUAAAGGGCGCGUAGGCGGCGUGACAAGUCACUUGUGAAAUCUCCGGGCUUAACCCGGAAAGGUCAGCCGAUACUGCGGGGCUAGAGUGCAGAAGGGGCAACUGGAAUUCUCGGUGUAGCGGUGAAAUGCGUAGAUAUCGAGAGGAACACCUGCGGCGAAGGCGGGCUGCUGGGCUGACACUGACGCUGAUGCGCGAAAGCUAGGGGAGCGAACGGG